GGCAGAGAGAGGCAGACAGUGCAGGACUGAGAGAGAGACAGAGAGAGGCAGACAGCGCGGGGCGGAGAGAGAGACAGAGAGAGACAGACAGUGCAGGACAGAGAGAGAGACAGAGAGGCAGACAGCGUGAGGAGAGGCAGAGAGAGGCAGACAGCGAGAGACAGAGAGAGGCAGACAGCGAGAGAAAGAGAGAGGCAGACAGCGAGAGACAGAGAGAGAAAGAGAGAGGCAGACAGCGAGAGACAGAGAGAGAAAGAGAGAGGCAGACAGCGAGAGACAGAGAGAGAAAGAGAGAGACAGAGAGAGGCAGACAGCGAGAGACAGAGAGAGAAAGAGAGAGACAGAGAGAGGCAGACAGCGAGAGACAGAGAGAGGCAGACAGCGCGAGGCGGAGAGAACG
ensembl:lncRNA